rnacentral:lncRNA from 1 species
AAAGUCUUUUGUAUAUUGAGGUUUUAGUAUUCAGUUCACGACCAAACAUCUCGACUCUGCGACAUUUUGAGUGCCUCACAGUUGGAUAAUCUUUAUGCUAUCGAAAGCAGACGAAAAUGUUCACGGUCCUAGUCCUAAUGGUUUUCACAACACAAGAGAGCCAACAUGUCUUCCAUUGUCUGAUUCAAUCUCCCAACCACACCAUCACUUCCCGGGUGCAUUGGUGUGGUCCUAGUUUUAUCUAUCUCAAGAAUGUGGGACUAUUGAUUAGUACCCUGGUCAAAAUGUAUCAUUUUUUUAAAACAACAAACAAGACCACGAAAAAUUCUUGACUAAAACACCAGCCACUAAUAUCAUCUAUAGACCUUUCAACGGAAAGCGUCCAUUCACUUGGUAAAAUACCCGCCAUAGACAAGAAGAUAAAUGUUACUGAUCUUGGUUAUUGGUUAAGGUCCAUGUACAUUGAGAGGAGCACCACCUACACAAGUUUGCAGAUGAGUCCUAGCUCCUCUAUUUGUUCGUUUCUUUGAUGAGAGCAUUUGUAACAUAUUCGACAAUACUGUUUCACUUCUUGGCGCAUGCCACACCAAAUAAACUACUUUUGAUUUAACUAACUGUUUGCAGCACCAA